rnacentral:sRNA from 1 species
CUUCGGCGAGCGCAUCAUCCGCCAGGAGAUCGUAGGCGUCGACGAGCGAGCCUGCCUGGCGCUCGAAAUAGAGUGCCAGGCGGACACCUG